AGUGAACGCUGGCGGUAGGCCUAACACAUGCAAGUCGAACGGCAGCACAGGAGAGCUUGCUCUCUGGGUGGCGAGUGGCGGACGGGUGAAGAAUACAUCGGAAUCUACUCUGUCGUGGGGGAUAACGUAGGGAAACUUACGCUAAUACCGCAUACGACCUACGGGUGAAAGCAGGGGACCUUCUGGCCUUGCUCGAUUGAAUGAGUCGAUGUCGGAUUAGCUAGUUGGCGGGGUAAAGGCCCACCAAGGCGACGAUCCGUAGCUGGUCUGAGAGGAUGAUCAGCCACACUGGAACUGAGACACGGUCCAGACUCCUACGGGAGGCAGCAGUGGGGAAUAUUGGACAAUGGGCGCAAGCCUGAUCCAGCCAUACCGCGUGGGUGAAGAAGGCCUUCGGGUUGUAAAGCCCUUUUGUUGGGAAAGAAAUCCAGCUGGCUAAUACCCGGUUGGGAUGACGGUACCCAAAGAAUAAGCACCGGCUAACUUCGUGCCAGCAGCCGCCGCCG
rnacentral:rRNA from 1 species